UACAGAGGUGGCAAGCGUUGCUCGGUAUCACUGGGCUUAAAGGGCGCGUAGGCGGUGCGGUGCGGUUUCGGUGAAAUCCCUCGGCCCAACCGAGGAACGGCCGGGGCUACGGCCGUGCUAGACGGCAUCAGGGGACAGUGGAACUCCCGGUGGAGCGGUGAAAUGCGUAGAUAUCGGGAGGAACGCCGGUGGCGAAAGCGACUGUCUGGGGUGCCUGUGACGCUGAGGCGCGAAAGCCAGGGGAUCAAACGGG
rnacentral:rRNA from 1 species